GACAGUUCGGUCCCUAUCCGUCGCAGGCGUAGGAAAUUUGAGAAGACCUGUCCUUAGUACGAGAGGACCGGGAUGGACGUACCUCUGGUGUACCAGUUGUUCUGCCAAGGGCAUGGCUGGGUAGCUAUGUACGGAAUGGAUAAGCGCUGAAAGCAUCUAAGCGCGAAGCCAACUUCAAGAUAAGAUUUCCCACCGCAAGGGUAAGACCCCAGAAAGACUAUCUGGUUG
rnacentral:rRNA from 1 species